rnacentral:sRNA from 1 species
UGCAAGUAGUGGGAAAGUCACCAGAAGUCCUUCCCCAGUUCCUCAAGAAGAGCACAGUGACCCUGAGAUGACUGAAGAGGAGAAAGAGUAUCAAAUGAUGUUGCUGACAAAAAUGCUUCUGACAGAAAUUCUACUGGAUGUCACAGAUGAAGAAAUUUAUUACGUAGCCAAAGAUGCACACCGCAAAGCAACGAAAGGUGGACUGGGUGGUUAUGGAUCAGGAGACAGUGAAGAUGAGAGGAGUGACAGAGGAUCUGAGUCAUCUGACACUGAUGAUGAAGAAUUACGGCAUCGAAUCCGGCAAAAACAGGAAGCUUUUUGGAGAAAAGAAAAAGAACAGCAGCUAUUACAUGAUAAACAGAUGGAAGAAGAAAAGCAGCAAACAGAAAGGGUUACAAAAGAGAUGAAUGAAUUUAUCCAUAAAGAGCAAAAUAGUUUAUCACUACUAGAAGCAAGAGAAGCAGACGGUGAUGUGGUUAAUGAAAAGAAGAGAACUCCAAAUGAAACCACAUCAGUUUUAGAACCAAAAAAAGAGCA